AAGACGGUUUAUAAUAAAAGCUGCUAACUUAUUAUUAAAGUGAUUAAACCCAUUUACGUCUUA
rnacentral:tRNA from 1 species